rnacentral:lncRNA from 1 species
CUUGGAUCUCAUUUAUGUGAAACAUCAAGAAUAAGCAGGGCUGGGGAUUUAGCUCAGUGGUUCUGGCGCCUGCCUUGAAAGUGCAAGGUCCCGAGUUCAAUCCCUGGUACUUAAAAAAAAUUAAAAAAAAAAAGAAUAAGCAAAUAAUGUACCAACAGAAGGCAAGUUAAUGGUUGCCAGAGUAUAGCAGGGAGGGAGAAAUGAAGAAUGAUUGCUUAACAGGUAUGUGAUUUUCUUUUGAUGAAAAUAUUCUGCAACUAGACAAUGGCAUUGAAUGCACAAUGCCGUGAAUGUCCUAUGUGUCACUAAGGCUGAAGAAAAUCUAGGGUUCAUCCUAGAAAAGGAACCACUUCUGAACCAAGCCACCUUGGACAGGGAUACAUUCAAGGUCAGCAUGAUGAAUAGGCAGAGAAAGAGGUCAAACAGCCCUCUCAAGCCAGAAGAGUUGGUCAACGGCCUUGUUCAAAGAGAAUUUCUCCACUUUGGGGGUGCUGAAGGGAGGAGGGAAGAUUUGGAAUGCAACAGGUUUCUCUCUGUUGCCCAGGCUGGCUUUGAACCCCUACACACAAGCAAUCCUCCUGCCUCAGCCUCCUGAGUAGCUUGGACUGUUGGUACAUGGCACUGCACCUGGCUUAUAUUUUAUAACUUACAAAUAAAUUUUACUUGUAAAACAAUAUACAUGUCUGGCAUUCAAAAAUGGCUACAGUUGCCGGGGAUUUAGCUCAGUGGUUUUGCCGCCUGCUGCGCAAGCUCAAGGACCCGAGUUCAAUCCCUGGUACCAAAAAAAAAAAAAAAUGGCUACAGUUAUAAAAUCAGAAGCCAUGAGCAGAAUCAGAGGAGGUGUUGGAAUUUCAAAAUCUUUAUGAAUAAUAUAUUUGAAGUAUGUCCAAAAAAAGAACAGAAGAGGCAAUAUAGAUAAUAUGAAGUUAGAAAGGUAUCCUAGG